AGAUUUUGAGUAUAGUGUGAGAAUACACGAGCGGCGGACGGGUGAGUAACGCGUAGGAAUGUACCCCAAAGUGAGGGAUAACUGCUCGAAAGAGUAGCUAAUACCGCAUAUGAUCUUCGGAUUAAAGCCUUCGGGCGCUUUAGGAACAGCCUGCGUAUGAUUAGCUUGUUGGUGAGGUAAUGGCUCACCAAGGCGACGAUCAUUAGCUGGUCUGAGAGGAUGACCAGCCACACUGGGACUGAGACACGGCCCAGACUCCUACGGGAGGCAGCAGUCGGGAAUCUUCCACAAUGGGCGAAAGCCUGAUGGAGCAACGCCGCGUGCAGGAUGAAUGCCUUCGGGUUGUAAACUGCUUUUAUCUGUGAAGAUUUUGACGGUAGCAGAUGAAUAAGGAUCGGCUAACUCCGUGCCAGCAGCCGCGGUCAUACGGAGGAUCCAAGCGUUAUCCGGAAUUACUGGGCGUAAAGAGUUGCGUAGGUGGCUUAGCAAGCAAGCUGUGAAAUUGUGUGGCUCAACCAUACACCCAUAGUUUGAACUGCUAAGCUAGAGUAUGAGAGAGGUAGCUGGAAUUCCUAGUGUAGGAGUGAAAUCCGUAGAUAUUAGGAGGAACACCGAUGGCGUAGGCAGGCUACUGGCUUAUUACUGACACUAAGGCACGAAAGCGUGGGGAGCGAACAGGAUUAGA
rnacentral:rRNA from 1 species